rnacentral:rRNA from 1 species
AUUGAACGCUGGCGGCAGGCCUAACACAUGCAAGUCGAGCGGAUGAAGGGAGCUUGCUCCUGGAUUCAGCGGCGGACGGGUGAGUAAUGCCUAGGAAUCUGCCUGGUAGUGGGGGAUAACGUCCGGAAACGGGCGCUAAUACCGCAUACGUCCUGAGGGAGAAAGUGGGGGAUCUUCGGACCUCACACUAUCAGAUGAGCCUAGGUCGGAUUAGCUAGUUGGUGGGGUAAAGGCCUACCAAGGCGACGAUCCGUAACUGGUCUGAGAGGAUGAUCAGUCACACUGGAACUGAGACACGGUCCAGACUCCUACGGGAGGCAGCAGUGGGGAAUAUUGGACAAUGGGCGAAAGCCUGAUCCAGCCAUGCCGCGUGUGUGAAGAAGGUCUUCGGAUUGUAAAGCACUUUAAGUUGGGAGGAAGGGCAGUAAGUUAAUACCUUGCUGUUUUGACGUUACCAACAGAAUAAGCACCGGCUAACUUCGU